rnacentral:rRNA from 1 species
GUUACGACCCGAAAGAUGGUGAACUAUACUUGAGCAGCCUGAAGCCUGAGGAAACUCAGGUGGAAGGGCGCAGCGGUACUGACGUGCAAAUCGUUCGUCAGACUUGAGUAUAGGGGCGAAAGACUAAUCGAACCAUCUAGUAGCUGGUUCCCUCUGAAAUUUCUCUCAGGAUAGCUGGAACAAAUCUAGCAGUUUUAUCAGGUAAAGCGAAUGAUUAGAGGACUCGGAGCUCCCAGAGCUUUGACCUAUUCUCAAACUUUAAAUUGGUAAGAACUAUUAGUUCUCUUAAUUGAACUAGUAGGUGGAAUGCUUGUUCCAAGUGGGCUUAUCGUGGUAAGCAUGUUAAGCAAUGAGGGAUGAACCUAACGCUGAGAUAAGGCGCCAAAAAUUCACGCUCAUGAGAUACCAUAAAAAGGUGUUGGUUAGUAUAACAGCCGGACUGUGGCCAUGGAAGUCGGCACCAGCUAAGGAGUGUGUAACAACUCACCAGCCGAAUUAACCAG